GGGGGCGAUUGGUGUCGACGGGGGAGUGAUCGGCUUAAGCUGCGAGCCGAGGCGCCGCUGGCCUCGUAAAAAGCGGCAAAAAAUAAACGCGACUACUCAGUACGCACACGCUGCCUAAGAUAGGCUAGCGCGUCCGCCCGUUCCCUGCCGGUGGGGACGGUUCCGGGCGUGACCAAAACCGGCUUGCUCGACUUGUUAGGUCCGCGGACUGUCGAGGACUCCAACGCGGACUGGGGCUUGCGGAUCCCGCCUGCAGGAGCCAAGGGCCCGAGAGUCAAAAUGCAGGCUACGCUCGUAGAGGCUUUUGACGAUCCUCUUUCGGACGGGGGUUCGAGUCCCCCCGCCUCCACCA
rnacentral:tmRNA from 1 species